UACGUAGGGUGCAGGCGUUAAUCGGAAUUACUGGGCGUAAAGCGUGCGCAGGCGGUUUGCUAAGACAGGUGUGAAAUCCCCGGGCUUAACCUGGGAACUGCGCUUGUUACUGGCAGGCUUUGAGUGUGGCAGAGGGAGGUAGAAUUCCACGUGUAGCAGUGAAAUGCGUAGAGAUGUGGAGGAAUACCGAUGGCGAAGGCAGCCUCCUGGGCCAACACUGACGCUCAUGCACGAAAGCGUGGGGAGCAAACAGG
rnacentral:rRNA from 1 species